ACCCUCUGAUCCCUAUCCCUCGAUCUAAGUCGUGGUCUGAGUGGCUGAAAAGGAGGAAAAGUAGAGCUGAAAGUGGCCCUGGGGGCUUUAGUGACAUACAA
rnacentral:snoRNA from 1 species